UGGGGAAUUUUGCACAAUGGGGGAAACCCUGAUGCAGCGACGCCGCGUGAUUUAGAAGGCCUUCGGGUUGUAAAAAUCUUUUCUAUGGGAAGAAAAUGACAGUACCAUAGGAAUAAGGACCGGCUAAUUACGUGCCAGCAGCCGCGGUAAUACGUAAGGUCCGAGCGUUGUCCGGAAUCAUUGGGCGUAAAGGGUACGUAGGCGGGUAAGCAAGUUAGAAGUGAAAUCCUAUAGCUCAACUAUAGUAAGCUUUUAAAACUGCUCAUCUUGAGGUAUGGAAGGGAAAGUGGAAUUCCUAGUGUAGCGGUGAAAUGCGCAGAUAUUAGGAGGAAUACCGGAGGCGAAGGCGACUUUCUGGCCAUAACCUGACGCUGAGGUACGAAAGCGUGGGUAGCAAACAGG
rnacentral:rRNA from 1 species